rnacentral:snRNA from 1 species
CUGACGUGCAAAUCGUUCGU